rnacentral:rRNA from 1 species
UUGUUAAAAAAAUUAGUUUUAGGAUUCAGUAUUAUUUAAAAACUCCGAAAUGCAGGACUCUCAUUAAAAUUAAAGAUUUCUUAGCGGGAGGUUUUUUUUGAUUUCUCCGUGGAAAGUUCGUAUUUGGUUAGUUAGUCAAAAUUGUUAACAAUUUUGCAGCCGCUUAAGGGGUUAAUCUCUUUAGGGGAGUUUACAGUGGGGAGGUUCUUUAAAUAGUAGGUUUUGGAUCCGCUGUCAAUGAUCCUAAAAGAUAGAGAAAAAAUUUAAAAAGGAAAAGUUAAAAUUAAAACAGAAAAAUUAAAACUUUGUACUUUUUGUAUCGUGGUUUAUAGAGUUGAUAGAGAAAGCUUUUUUCCCGAAAAUUUUAGAGCUAUUAAAAUUAAAGUUUGAUUCGUGAAUUAAUUAAAGUAAGUUUUUAAUGGAGGUGAUAUGUUAGUCGAAAAAAUUGAUAGCUGGUUAAUGGGAAAAUGCAUAUAAGUGCAGCUCUUGCAGAAUAAAAAAAUAGAUGGAUUUUUUAAAGUUUGUAAGAAGUGACACUUUCGGGGAUAAGCUCGGAAGGAUAGAAGAUUAAAAAAGAUGGGUAGAUUUGAAAGUGGUUUCCCUGAUAGUUUGUUAUAAAUAGGGUAAUUUAAAGUAAAUUAGGUAGUAACCCAUUCUUUACUACAAUUACUAGUGGUGAUUAGUAUAGAAUAAGUAGAAAAUUUUUAUCAAUAAAUAUUAUUUUUAGUUGUUUUGUGAUGGAAAGAUUUAAAAAAAAGGAACUCGGCAAAACCGCCCUCCGCCUGUUUAUUAAAAACAUCUCUUUUAGUUAAAUUUGAAUUAAAAGUAGGCCCUGCCCGGUGCAAAGCAGUAAACGGCGGUAAAUUCUUUAAAGUAGCAUAAUAGAUCGGCUUUUAAUUGAAGUCUAGGAAGAAGGGGUUGACGUGGGGGCAACUUUCUAUUUUUUAAUAGUUGAAAUUUUCUUUUAAGUGAAAAGACUUAAAUUCUCGUAAAAGACGAGAAGACCCCGACGAGCUUAACUAUACUUUUAAAGUUUUAAAAUUAGCUUAGAUUUUAUUUUUAAUUGGGGCAAUUGGGGAGUAGAACUAACCUCCUUUUUUAUGGCAGAGAUCCUUCAUGGGAAGAAAGAAGGAAAAAGCUACCACGGGGAUAACAGCGUGAUUUUCACUUAAAGGCCUUAUCAAAGUGAAUGUUGACGACCUCGAUGUUGGAUUAAGGUAUCUCUUCGGCGCAGAAGCUGUUGAAGUAAGUCUGUUCGACUUUUAAAACCUUACAUGAUCUGAGUUUAGACCGGCGUGAGCUAGGUCGGAUUCUAUCUUUACUAUAGGGGGUUUUAUGUACGAAAGGACCAAGAUCCUUAAAGUUUAUUGGUUUUAGUUGUUAUUAAGCUCACCCUAAGGGACAACAAGCUGUAAACUAUGAAGUUUUUCAAAGUUUUAAGUAAACA